rnacentral:rRNA from 1 species
CAUGGUUAAGUGGGAAACGAUGUGGGAAGGCCCAGACAGCCAGGAUGUUGGCUUAGAAGCAGCCAUCAUUUAAAGAAAGCGUAAUAGCUCACUGGUCGAGUCGGCCUGCGCGGAAGAUGUAACGGGGCUAAACCAUGCACCGAAGCUGCGGCAGCGACGCUUAUGCGUUGUUGGGUAGGGGAGCGUUCUGUAAGCCUGUGAAGGUGUGCUGUGAGGUAUGCUGGAGGUAUCAGAAGUGCGAAUGCUGACAUAAGUAACGAUAAAGCGGGUGAAAAGCCCGCUCGCCGGAAGACCAAGGGUUCCUGUCCAACGUUAAUCGGGGCAGGGUGAGUCGACCCCUAAGGCGAGGCCGAAAGGCGUAGUCGAUGGGAAACAGGUUAAUAUUCCUGUACUUGGUGUUACUGCGAAGGGGGGACGGAGAAGGCUAUGUUGGCCGGGCGACGGUUGUCCCGGUUUAAGCGUGUAGGCUGGUUUUCCAGGCAAAUCCGGAAAAUCAAGGCCGAGGCGUGAUGACGAGGCACUACGGUGCUGAAGCAACAAAUGCCCUGCUUCCAGGAAAAGCCUCUAAGCAUCAGGUAACAUCAAAUCGUACCCCAAACCGACACAGGUGGUCAGGUAGAGAAUACCAAGGCGCUUGAGAGAACUCGGGUGAAGGAACUAGGCAAAAUGGUGCCGUAACUUCGGGAGAAGGCACGCUGAUACGUAGGUGAAGCGACUUGCUCGUGGAGCUGAAAUCAGUCGAAGAUACCAGCUGGCUGCAACUGUUUAUUAAAAACACAGCACUGUGCAAACACGAAAGUGGACGUAUACGGUGUGACGCCUGCCCGGUGCCGGAAGGUUAAUUGAUGGGGUUAGCGCAAGCGAAGCUCUUGAUCGAAGCCCCGGUAAACGGCGGCCGUAACUAUAACGGUCCUAAGGUAGCGAAAUUCCUUGUCGGGUAAGUUCCGACCUGCACGAAUGGCGUAAUGAUGGCCAGGCUGUCUCCACCCGAGACUCAGUGAAAUUGAACUCGCUGUGAAGAUGCAGUGUACCCGCGGCAAGACGGAAAGACCCCGUGAACCUUUACUAUAGCUUGACACUGAACAUUGAGCCUUGAUGUGUAGGAUAGGUGGGAGGCUUUGAAGUGUGGACGCCAGUCUGCAUGGAGCCGACCUUGAAAUACCACCCUUUAAUGUUUGAUGUUCUAACGUGGACCCGUGAUCCGGGUUGCGGACAGUGUCUGGUGGGUAGUUUGACUGGGGCGGUCUCCUCCUAAAGAGUAACGGAGGAGCACGAAGGUUGGCUAAUCCUGGUCGGACAUCAGGAGGUUAGUGCAAUGGCAUAAGCCAGCUUGACUGCGAGCGUGACGGCGCGAGCAGGUGCGAAAGCAGGUCAUAGUGAUCCGGUGGUUCUGAAUGGAAGGGCCAUCGCUCAACGGAUAAAAGGUACUCCGGGGAUAACAGGCUGAUACCGCCCAAGAGUUCAUAUCGACGGCGGUGUUUGGCACCUCGAUGUCGGCUCAUCACAUCCUGGGGCUGAAGUAGGUCCCAAGGGUAUGGCUGUUCGCCAUUUAAAGUGGUACGCGAGCUGGGUUUAGAACGUCGUGAGACAGUUCGGUCCCUAUCUGCCGUGGGCGCUGGAGAACUGAGGGGGGCUGCUCCUAGUACGAGAGGACCGGAGUGGACGCAUCACUGGUGUUCGGGUUGUCAUGCCAAUGGCACUGCCCGGUAGCUAAAUGCGGAAGAGAUAAGUGCUGAAAGCAUCUAAGCACGAAACUUGCCCCGAGAUGAGUUCUCCCUGACCCUUUAAGGGU